CCUACGGGUGGCAGCAGUGGGGAAUAUUGCACAAUGGGGGAAACCCUGAUGCAGCGACGCCGCGUGAGUGAAGAAGUAUUUAGGUAUGUAAAGCUCUAUCAGCAGGGAAGAAAAUGACGGUACCUGUUUAAGUAGCGCCGGCUAACUACGUGCCAGCAGCCGCGGUCAUACGGAAGGAGCAAGCGGUAAUCGGAUUUACUGGGUUUAAAGGGAGCGUCAACGGCAACACAAGUCUGGAGGGAAAAGCCCGGGGUUAACCCCGGAACUGCUUGGGAAACUGAGCAGCUAGAGUGAAGGAGAGGUAAGCGGAAUGCGUGGUGUAGCGGUGAAAUGCGUAGAUAUCAGGCAGAACACCAGUGGCGAAGGCAGCUUACUGGACCGUAACUGACGUUGAGGCACGAAAGCGUGGGGAGCGAACAGGAUUAGAUACCCUAGUAGUC
rnacentral:rRNA from 1 species